rnacentral:rRNA from 1 species
UACCAGCACCCCGAGUGGUCGGGACGAUUAUUGGGCCUAAAGCAUCCGUAGCCGGCCUUACAAGUCCUCCGUUAAAUCCAGCUGCUUAACAGAUGGGCUGCGGAGGAUACUAUAAGACUAGGAGGCAGGAGAGGCAAGCGGUACUCAGUGGGUAGGGGGUAAAAAUCCGUUGAUCCAUAGAAGACCACCAGUGGCGAAGGCGGCUUGCCAG